UUCAAACAAGCCUGAACAAGCUCACUCAUUAUUGGCAAUAGAAGUUCCUCCAAAAACGGGACUCAGACCAACUCGAACUAAUCGCUGUCAACAGGGUGGAAUUGGUUCCAAUAUGGCGGUAGCCACAUCAGGAAGUGAUGGCAAAGGCUCUGCCCUGAUUUUGGGAGAGCCAGAGAUGGUGUGGGUUUCUUUUUUUUAGAGCCACAGCAGACUAUUUGUCAAAAAAAAUCAAUGACACAUCAGGUCUUUUUUCGAAGAAGGACAGAGAUGGCCUGUUCCAUCAACUCCAACUACAAACAGAACGAAAGGAAGGAGAACAUCCAGUUUGACAAAAAGCUGUUGUGUUGUUCAUAGCUUUGGACGGCAAAAAUGUCAACAACUGACGAGAGAUCCAGACCGACCAAGAACAAGAUUAUUUUCACUUCAUAACGGAUACCACAAUUCUUGAUCCAAUCUCGCCCUCAGCACUCCACUGGGGACCAACAGAACAGUUUAGAUAAAGAUCCGUUGUUGUUGUCUAAGUACAAAGCUCUUUUAGUCAACCAAAGAGUUCUUUAAACAGCCACAAGACCACAAAAACUUUAGAUGUUUUUCUUGGUUUAUGCCUUACUUAUCAACAUCUUCAUUGCUGAAUUCAACGGUUAGCAACUCAAUGUUUCACUCAAACACAGCCAACACACCAGAUAUUUAUUAAAACAAAUUAACUCAAAUUAACUGAAGUCUUAGUCCCAACUGUCCGUAUGGGUUAAUAUGGGCUAACUAUGAUUGAAAAAUGCUCAAACCUGUCUGGUGCAUGCAGGUGGCCCACACAAAAUAUCAAGAUCAUAGACUGCUCUACGACAGAGUAUUGGGGCCAGUUUUAUAGUCGUAUAUUUAUGAGUUUAAAAGUC